CUACGGGCGGCUGCAGUGAGGAAUAUUGCACAAUGGGGGGAACCCUGAUGCAGCAACGCCGCGUGGAGGAGGACGCAUUUCGGUGUGUAAACUCCUUUUAUAUGUCAAGAAAAUGACGGUAGCAUAUGAAUAAGCACCGGCUAACUCCGUGCCAGCAGCCGCGGUAAUACGGAGGGUGCAAGCGUUACUCGGAAUCACUGGACGUAAAGGACGCGUAGGCGGGUUGGAAAGUCAGGUGUGAAAUCCUACAGCUUAACUGUAGAACUGCACUUGAAACUUCUAAUCUAGAGUAUGGGAGGGGGAGAUGGAAUUAGUGGUGUAGGGGUAAGAUCCGUAGAUAUCACUAGGAAUACCUAAAGCGAAGGCGAUCUCCUGGAACAUUACUGACGCUAAGGCGUGAAAGCGUGGGGAGCAAACAGGAUUAGAUACCCGCGUAGUC
rnacentral:rRNA from 1 species